rnacentral:lncRNA from 1 species
CCGAAUUUCUGGUUCAAGAGAGAGAGAAAGAGUGAGCUACAUAAUCUUGUUUUCUUACUCUAGCAAACCAAGAACAACAAUCAAGAGAGAAAAAUCUGAAUUAGUGAGAGAGUUCCUACAACUCCAAGUGUUUGAUCCAAGCUUGAAGACUUACUUUGGUGAAGUGAUUUUGGUGAUUCAAGCUCACUAUAAGAGAGGUAUAUGUUCUUUAAAUCUUGGUUUUUGAUGAUAGAUCAUGCACUUGAAAGUGUUAAUAGCAAGGAUACAAGUUGUUUGGUUGAGAUGUUGAGUUAGUUUCUUGAAGUAAACAAGUAGUAGCUAGGUUUCUUAGUAUGUACACCAAGUGUUUGAUGAAAUGUUUGAUUCUUAUUCAUGUUUGUUUAUGAGGUAUUAUUAUGUUUAAAUCUCUUUUGAGUUGAAUCUAUUACUUGAUAUGAAGAUUUGGGUGAAAAACAUGUAAGGAUGAAGGAUUGAACAAAUGUUGAAAAGUGUGGGCUGGUUGCUUGUCUUGGCUGGCUGGUUCUUGUAGGAGGGAUUUUCCCUCAAUAUUGUUGUUAAAUUAUGUCCUAAUCAAGCCUAAUAAACUAGGUUAACUAUUGGUUAGGCCUAUAAGCAUGUUGGAAUGAAAUUGAAGCAAGUAAAGUGGUGCUUUUGAACCAUUAGUAGACUGUUUAGGACUCUUGUAGUUAUGAGAUCAUUAUGAUUACCUUAAAUAAUGUUGUAUGUUAUGUUGUGAACUCCAUUGAUGCUAAGUGACUUGAAUCCUUGUAUAUGAUCACUUGAGGAGUGAAUUGGGUGAAUUUGGAGUAAAACUAAUGAAGUUAGCCCUAGAACUAGAAUAGUUUAGCUUACGGUUAAUGCUGAUCCAGGGUUGGAAAAACAGCCACCUUGUCUGAGUUACUGUUGCUGAUAGGAGACGAACCACAGUGUGACCUUGGUACCGUUGGAAAGCCCUUCGAGUCUAGUUUCCAACGCCACUGACGGCACCUAAUUUUGACUUUUCUACAAUGAGUUAUGACCAUUUUCCUAAGACUGCCAGGGCAAGACUGUGCAACCCGAGAAGAAACCCUUAAGCCCGAUUGGAACUUUUCUUUUGCCGAACUUUCAUGCAUCUAUUAAACUUGUUUUCUCAUUAACUUUUACCAUGGAUUGGGCCUUGUUUGCAUGAUGGAUUAAGUAGCUUAGACUACUCACUUGGUCUCUUAUUGAGCCUAACCUAGUGGGACAUGAAUCUAAGUGUUAACGAUUUCACUCGUUGCUCUAGGUUUGGGAAACGAAGGUGACCAUUACUAAGACGAUUGACAUCGAUCGCUACUUUUGAUUGACAGGUGAGUGUUCCACUACCUGCUACCUGCUUAUGUGAAAUACCUGAAUAUUUGAUUUACGACUGUUUGAGCCAAACCCUAAUUUGAUAAAAGUGGAGGCGAUCGUGUACUUUAUCGCACUCGUCCUCCUUUAUUUCCACUGAGGCCCUGUAUAUUGUUAUUGUGAAAUGUGAAUUCUCUAUAUGUGACUGUGCUUGAGUUGUUUGGGUGAUAUCCCAUCAACUACUACUACUGUUUGGGUGCCCAACCUCAUAGGUGAGUUGGUUCUAUCGAGUCGGCCAGGGCUUGGUCGAGAAGGCCGAUAAACCUUGAGGACUGUUUACUGUUCACUGAAACCGGUAUACUCGAGUAUUACC